UUACAAGUCCUGUAAAAAGGACGCUGCGAGGAGCAGCAAGCAGAGCCUGCCCAGGGGAUGGGAAACAUGGAUGAAGGCAGAGGCAGAGGUGGUGGGGCUGGAAUACACCUUGAAGCUGCAGUGACAUCGUUUCCACGUGUCUGUGUUCCCACACUGGUUGAUCAGCGGACACCGUCUUUUUCUUUGGUGUGCAUCUUCCUGGGACAGAUUUUUCAAGUCUGGAGAAGAGAAUCUGCACAUGGAUAUGUCUUUUCAGAUGGGUUUGAUUUUGAUUGACUGUGACCUCCUCCAUACUGGUAAAAGUGCCCCUUUGAGAGUUAGUGCAAGUGAUCAGGACAACUGAAACCUGGUUUUACAGGAAUGAGAAUAUACAGU